UUGGUCCCUCCCGGAACGUUUAUUUGUGGUUCGUUUCCCGGGGGACUGUUUUGGAUGGGACACCCUGGAGCAGACAGAGGAGAGGACGACGGAGCCGACUACAUGCCGCAGCAUCCGCAAGAAGACAGCUCAAUCACUGGUCAAACUAUCACACACAACGAUAAAUAAUGAGUUGCUAGAAAAUGUGCAAAUAUACAAUGUGCAAAAUGUUCUGUGCAAAUAUACAAUGUGCAAAAUGUUCUGUGCAAAUAAAGUGCAAAUACAGUUAUAAAA